rnacentral:tRNA from 1 species
UUAUUAAAAUUUUUUAAGUUUAGAACUUGAAUAAUAUUAUUAUAUAUAAU